GGUAUUUAACAACAUGAAUGUGUGAGAGUUGUUAUAUGUUGCAAUGGCUGGUAAAACAGUGAUACCAUCAACACAGGCCAAGGGCUUCAGGUUAACACUGCACACGUGUGGUUUGUUGUGAUGACGUAAGUGGGCGGUGACGGGGCGCCGGGACCACACAGUUGGGAUAGUGUCAGCUGAGCCGGUGUAAACAAACCCACGUUUGGAACCUCUGUGGACAUACCUGGGUCUGCCAACUCGUAACAGCCCGAGGCCAAACCAGCGAAGCGAGGCUCGGCCAACGUGUCGUUUGCGGAUCUGUGGCAGAUCGGCCAGCCGCCCAACACCACCAAGUCCUAGAAGCAUCUGAGCUAAUUAACAACUGCAGAGUGUAAAUAAUAUAUUUUAUUUAAUCAACUAGGGUAGGCGAUGUGUUGUAGUACUAUUGUCUGGAAUAAAGAACAGCAUUUCCUCUCGCAGGAAAAUGUACUUUGAGAAAACCA